rnacentral:rRNA from 1 species
GUGGGGAAUUUUGGACAAUGGGCGCAAGCCUGAUCCAGCAAUGCCCCGUGCAGGAAGAAGGCCUUCGGGUUGUAAACUGCUUUUGUACGGAACGAAAAGGCUCUGGUUAAUACCUGGGGCUCAUGACGGUACCGUAAGAAUAAGCACCGGCUAACUACGUGCCAGCAGCCGCGGUAAUACGUAGGGUGCAAGCGUUAAUCGGAAUUACUGGGCGUAAAGCGUGCGCAGGCGGGUUUGUAAGACAGACGUGAAAUCCCCGGGCUCAACCUGGGAAUGGCGUUUGUGACUGCAAAGCUGGAGUGCGGCAGAGGGGGAUGGAAUUCCGCGUGUAGCAGUGAAAUGCGUAGAUAUGCGGAGGAACACCGAUGGCGAAGGCAAUCCCCUGGGCCUGCACUGACGCUCAUGCACGAAAGCGUGGGGAGCAAACAGGAUUAGAUACCCUUGUAGUCC